rfam:Camelus ferus unplaced genomic scaffold scaffold60782, whole genome shotgun sequence.
AGGGGUGUAGCUCAGUGGUAGACUAUGUGCUUAGCAGGCACAAGGUCCUGGGUUCAACCCCCAGUGCCUCCA